AUUGAACGCUGGCGGAAUGCUUUACACAUGCAAGUCGAACGGUAGAGGGGGCAACCCCUCGAGAGUGGCGAACGGGUGAGUAAUAUAUCGGAACGUGCCCAGUCGUGGGGGAUAACGUAGCGAAAGUUACGCUAAUACCGCAUACGAUCUAAGGAUGAAAGCGGGGGAUCGCAAGACCUCGCGCGAUUGGAGCGGCCGAUAUCAGAUUAGGUAGUUGGUGGGGUAAAGGAUCACCAAGCCAACGAUCUGUAGCUGGUCUGAGAGGACGACCAGCCACCCUGGAACUGAGACACGGUCCAGACUCCUACGGGAGGCAGCAGUGGGGAAUUUUGGAGAAUGGACGCAAGUCUGAUCCAGCCAUUCCGCGUGCAGGAUGAAGGCCCUCGGGUUGUAAACUGCUUUUGUACGGAACAAAAAGGUCUCUCUUAAUACGGGGGGCUCAUGACGGUACCGUAAGAAUAAGCACCGGCUAACUACGUGCCAGCAGCCGCCGUAA
rnacentral:rRNA from 1 species